AGCUCCAAUAGCGUAUAUUAAAGUUGUUGCGGUUAAAAAGCUCGUAGUUGGAUUUCUGCAUGGAAGGAGCGGUCCACCCAUUGGGCGCGUACGGCUACCUUUGAUGCAUCUUUCUGAGGACGUGUUCUUCACUUAAUUGUGAGGGCGCAGGACUCAGGACAUUUACUUUGAGGAAAUGAGAGUGUUUCAAGCAGGCAAAUGCCUUGAAUACGUUAGCAUGGAAUAAUAGCAUCGGACCAUCGUCCAGCUGUUGGUGUCUGGGCGAAGGUAAAGGUGAAUAGGGAUUGUUGGGGGCAUUCGUAUUUAACUGUCAGAGGUGAAAUUCUUGGAUUUGUUGAAGACGGACCACUGCGAAAGCAUCUGCCAAAGAUGUUCUCA
rnacentral:rRNA from 1 species